AUUGAACGCUGGCGGAAUGCUUUACACAUGCAAGUCGAACGGCAGCACGGACUUCGGUCUGGUGGCGAGUGGCGAACGGGUGAGUAAUAUAUCGGAACGUGCCCAGUCGUGGGGGAUAACGUAGCGAAAGCUACGCUAAUACCGCAUACGAUCUACGGAUGAAAGCGGGGGAUCGCAAGACCUCGCGCGAUUGGAGCGGCCGAUAACAGAUUAGGUAGUUGGUGAGGUAAAGGCUCACCAAGCCGACGAUCUGUAGCUGGUCUGAGAGGACGACCAGCCACACUGGGACUGAGACACGGCCCAGACUCCUACGGGAGGCAGCAGUGGGGAAUUUUGGACAAUGGACGCAAGUCUGAUCCAGCCAUUCCGCGUGCAGGACGAAGGCCUUCGGGUUGUAAACUGCUUUUGUACAGAACGAAAAGGUCUAUAUUAAUAAUAGGGGCUCAUGACGGUACUGUAAGAAUAAGCACCGGCUAACUACGUGCCAGCCGCCGCGGUAA
rnacentral:rRNA from 1 species